rnacentral:lncRNA from 1 species
GAGACAAGGUUUCACUAUGUUGGCCAGGCUGCUCUUGAACUCCUGACCUCUGUUGAUCUGCCCGUCUUGGCCUCCCAAAGUACUGGGAUUACAGGUCAUAGACCCCAUUCAAGAGGGUCCUUCCCCAUUCCCAGAAGAAAAGAACACAUGCUCACAGAGAUGAAAAUAAUCUGGAUGGACAGACCUCAUUGGGUCUCCCUACUCAGUCUAUUAGAUCAAACACUUUUUGUCCAAUUAUAUUUCUACAUGGUUGUCCAUACUUUGUUUAACCUAAGCGUAAAAGGUGACACUUUCUCCUGUAUCUUUGAGCCUUCAUUCUGAAUUUCCUGAGUACUCAUGUUAAAUAAAUUCAUACGCCUUUUCUCCAGUUAAUCUGCCUUUUGCAAGUUGGUAUCUCAGCAAACUUUCAGGGGGCAAAGAAGAGCUCUGCCCCCUACAGCUAAGAUACGCUCCUUUGCGAGAAAGCACAUCUGAUAAAAACCUGUAUUAAUAAACCGCACAGUAUAUCAAGGUGUUAGCAAAAAGGGGUCCCUAUCCAGACCCCAAGAAAGGGUUCUUGAAUUUUGAGCAAAAAAGGAUUUGAGGCGAAUCCAUAGAGGAAAGUGAAAGCAAGUUUAUUAAGAAAGUAAAGCAAUAAAGAAUGGUUACUCCAUAGGCAGAGCAGUGGCAUGGGCUGCUAAGCUGCUUAUACUCGUUGUUACUUCUUGAUUAUAUGCUAAACAGGGGGUGAAUUAUUCAUGAGUUUUCCAGGAAAGGAGUGAGCAAUUCCCAGAACUGAGAGUUCCUCCCCAUUUUAGACUAUACAGGGUAAAUUUCUGACAUUGCCAUGGCAUUUGUAAACUGUCAUGGUCCUGGUGGGAGUGUCUUUUAGCAUGCUAAUGCAUUAUAAUUAGCAUAUGAUAAGUAGUGAGGAGGACCAGAGGCUACUUUUGUCACUAUCUGGGUUUGGUGUGUUUUGACCAGCUUCUUUACUGCAAACUGUUUUAUCAGCAAGGUCUUUAUGACCUGUAUCUUGUGCCAACCUCCUAUCUCAUCCUGUAACUAAGAAUACCUUAAUCUACUGGGAAUGUAUCACAGUAGGUCUCAGCCUCAUUCUACCUAGCCCCUAUUCAAAAUGGAGUUGCUGUGGUUCAAAUGCCUCUGACAAAGAUUCAUCUUGAUUUUUCAAAAAGAGCUUCAGAAUCACAAUAUCUAACCAAUACCUUAAUGAAUACCUGAAUUUCAAAUGUACAAAAUUAUUUUGUAAAAACAACACAAUAGACAUCCAGGGUUAAUAUUACGGAAGGAUAUAGAUCUGACCUACAAUUUGAUAUUUCCUAUUUCUGAAGCCUCUUUUGACAUUCUCUUUGCCACUUCCAUUAUAUUUAUUAUAUAUUGGGGAUCAAUGAAAAAAUAUUAAUAAUUGCUAGGAUAUAUUUUUUAAACAUGAAUUUGAAAAUCAUGAAUUCAUC